AACGAACGCUGGCGGCAUGCCUAACACAUGCAAGUCGAACGAUACCUUCGGGCCUAGUGGCGCACGGGUGCGUAACGCGUGGGAAUCUGCCUUUCGGUUCGGAAUACUUCAGGGAAACUUGAGCUAAUACCGGAUAACGUCGCAACACCAAAGAUUUAUAACCGAAAGAUGAGCCCGCGUAGGAUUAGCUAGUUGGUGAGGUAAAGGCGCACCAACGCGACGUUGCUUAGCUGGUCUGAGAGGAUGAUCAACUACACUGGCACUGCGACACGGCCCAGAAUCGUACGGGAGGGAGCAGUGGGGAAUAUUGGACAAUGGGCGAAAGCCUGAUCCAGCAAUGCCGGGUGAGUGAUGAAGGCCGUAGGGUUGUAAAGCCCUUUUACCCGGGAAGAUAAUGACGGUACCGGGAGAAUAAGCCCCGGCUAACUCCGUG
rnacentral:rRNA from 1 species